UACGGGAGGCAGCAGUGGGGAAUAUUGCACAAUGGGCGAAAGCCUGAUGCAGCUAUGCCGCGUGUAUGAAGAAGGCCUUAGGGUUGUAAAGUACUUUCAUCGGGGAGGAAAAAACAAAACUAAUAAUUUUAUUUCUUGACGUUACCCGAAAAAGAAGCACCGGCUAACUCCGUGCCAGCAGCCGCGGUAAUACGGAGGGUGCUAGCGUUAAUCAGAAUUACUGGGCGUAAAGAGCACGUAGGUGGUUUUUUUAAGUCAGAUGUGAAAUCCCUGGGCUUAACCUAGGAACUGCAUUUUGAAACUGAAAUACUAGAGUAUCGUAGAGGGAGGUAGAAUUCUAGGUGUAGCGGUGAAAUGCGUAGAUAUCUGGAGGAAUACCUGUGGCGAAAGCGGCCUCCUAAACGAAUACUGACACUGAGGUGCGAAAAGCGUGGGGAGCAAACAGGAUUAGAUACC
rnacentral:rRNA from 1 species